UUUAGAAUUCGGUUGAAAAUGUCAUUUGCUAUUAGUCAUAAGACUUCUCGAGCAUUAUGCAGUGAAGACGGGGAUUUACCGCAGUUUCUCCAUCCGUCUUCAUCCUGUCAAAAUGUACAUUUUCUACUGUAAAUAUGUAAAAACUUCAUUUUUUAUUAGUUAUUUGCAUUGCUAAGAACAUUUGGACAAAUUUAAAGGUAAUUUUCUCAAUAUUUAGAUUAUUAUUUUAUUCUGAUUUACGUUUACAGUCUUCAUGCACACUUCCACAGCUCUUACCCUGCGCAAGCAGAUCUUUAUGGCAUUAAUUUACCUCCAAACUAGAGUCUUUAUUCAGACACAGCGCUCUCUCACAGAGUCCGAUCCGAUCCGGAUGUGUUCCCCAGCUCCAUCGCGAGCUUCGGCUCUCGGGCCCGGUUCUGCUGGUUCUCACCAGGAUCCAGUAGAAAAUCCGCUGCGGAUCAAUAACCGGUUCUGCUGAUCUGAGGACAGUCCGUGGACAGACUCGGUUUGCAUGGUUGAGAUUCUGUGAGAAUACGAAUAAAGGGUCUUUCAAAAACAGUCAACGCGCGCUCACCUGCGCGACGCCCGUGACGUCACUCCGUCGGGUCUCACCUGUGCUCGGGUGACGCUCCUCUUGGAUACCAUCAGCAUACGGUCUUCAGCGGACCGGUUUGAGUAUAUUAUUGGACGUGAGUAAAAUUAUGUUCAAGUGUUACAUUUUAUCACUUCAGUUCGUGCAUUUCUUCCACAUUAUCUAAAACAGCACGGAGACUGAACUGAGGACAGACCAAGAGAGACAUU